AUCUGUGACCAUACCACCCUGUACCUGGAAGCUAAGCAAAGUUGGGCCUGGCCAGAACUUGGAUGGGAGACCACCUUGGAAUACUGGAAGUGUUGGGCG
ensembl:rRNA 5S_rRNA 5S ribosomal RNA